rnacentral:rRNA from 1 species
UACGUAGGGGGGCAAGCGUUGUCCGGAAUCAUUGGGCGUAAAGAGCGUGUAGGCGGUCCGGUAAGUCGGCUGUGAAAGUCCAGGGCUCAACCCUGGGAUGCCGGUCGAUACUGCCGGACUAGAGUUCGGAAGAGGCGAGUGGAAUUCCCGGUGUAGCGGUGAAAUGCGCAGAUAUCGGGAGGAACACCUAUGGCGAAGGCAGCUCGCUGGGACGUUACUGACGGCUGAGACGCGAAAGCGUGGGGAGCAAACAGG